AUUGAACGCUGGCGGCAGGCUUAACACAUGCAAGUCGAGCGAGCGGCGGACGGGUGAGUAAUGUCUGGGAAACUGCCUGAUGGAGGGGUAUAACUACUGGAAACGGUAGCUAAUACCGCUUCCCAUCCGUUGUGCCCAGAUGGGAUUAGCUAGUCGGUGGGGUAAUGGAUCACCUAGGCGACGAUCCCUAGCUGGUCUGAGAGGAUGACCAGCCACACUGGGACUGGGACACGGUCCAGAGGCCGACGGGAGGCAGCAGUAGGGAAUAUUGCACAAGGGGCGCAAGCCUGAUGCAGCCAGGCCGCGUGUGUGAAGAAGGCCUUCGGGUUGUAAAGCACUUUCAGCGAGGAGGCGGUACUCGCAGAAGAAGCACCGGCUAACUCCGUGCCAGCAGCCGCGGUAAUAC
rnacentral:rRNA from 1 species